UACGGGGGGGGCAAGCGUUGUUCGGAAUUACUGGGCGUAAAGGGCUCGUAGGCGGCCAACUAAGUCAGACGUGAAAUCCCCAGGCUUAACCUGGGAACUGCGUCUGAUACUGGAUGGCUUGAAUUCGGGAGAGGGAUGCAGAAUUCCAGGUGUAGCGGUGAAAUGCGUAGAGAUGUGGAGGAACACCGAUGGCGAAGGCAGCCUCCUGGGCCAACACUGACGCUCAUGCACGAAAGCGUGGGGGGCAAACAGG
rnacentral:rRNA from 1 species